AGCUCCUCCCGCUGCAAACGCGCGAACUUCUGUGGCUCGAUCCCAGUGCGCACUCCUCCCAGUGCACUGGCCGGUUGGAGUUUUGCCAGGGAGGCCUUCCCACCUGCCUGUCUCAAUGGAAAGAAUAUGUGGAUUUGGAUUCAGGGACACCUUUAUCACCUAUGUGACUUUAGAGCCAGCAAGCGUUCCUGAAGCAUUCAGAAUUGUCUAAUUUCACCAAAUGAAUGAUCCCUGAGGGAUACCAUGGAUCCUGCUGGUCUAGGAUUGGCUCCAGCUUUUUCUGGAUCUGCAUUUGCUGUGCAACCCUGCUCGGGGGCUGAGAGAUGCUCUGGAGCUGUCUAGGCUGCUAAUAUAUCUGACCACACUGGCUCUGCAAGACCAUGGCUGAAGACUGCUUAAAUGUUGUCCCUGAGUCAAUAUCUUAACAUUUAUUGCAUCUUUUAUUUUCUUAACAAAAAUGAAGGCAUUUGUGACUGUGUUGUUUUCCAUCAAAAAUUGGGAAUCAUGCCCUUUCAUACAACACAGUUGUGGUCCAUCUUUUCUUCUGGGGUAGUAGAAAGAUCAAGAUCAUCAGAGAACGUAGGGUGCAAUAUCAGCUCUCCAGUACCAAACACGGUUCAUUAACCUCUCGGAACCUCAGGUGUCUUGGGGCAUAGUUCAUGUCUCCUGGCCCAUCUCACAGGAUUAUCAGGAGGACGAAUGAGAUAAUUCUCAGGCUAAAGAAAAUAUCACCUAAUGCUUCUGAUAUACAGAAUUGUGUGCUGCAAAUGGUUGAAAAGAUUUUAGUUUCAACACCUAAUUCCCAUCAUUCUGUGGCAAAAUAUAUCUUGAGUUCUGAUGGGCGCCAGAACAACAUCUGAAGAUUGAAUGAAACUUCUAAAGUGAUAACAAGGCCCGUCCUGUACUUCACAGAAGACUUCUGAGGGUCAAAGAGAAGAUUUAUAGUUCUGGAGGUCAGAAGUCCAAGCUGAGUUUCACUGGCCCAAAUUCAAGAGUACCAGGCCAGAUUUCCAAAUGGGACAACAGGUGGAACUCUCAUUUUGCUCAUGUUCAGGCUGGAGUGCAGUGACACGAUCAUGGCUCGCUGCAGCCUUGACCUCCUGGGCUCAAGCUAUCCUCCCAUGUCAGCCUUCUGAUUAGCUGGGACUAUAGGCAUGCACCAUCAC
rnacentral:lncRNA from 10 species